UACGUAGGGGGCUAGCGUUGUUCGGAUUUACUGGGCGUAAAGGGCGCGUAGGCGGUCAGCACAAGUCAGUUGUGAAAUCUCCGGGCUUAACUCGGAAAGGUCAACUGAUACUGUGCGACUAGAGUGCAGAAGGGGCAACUGGAAUUCUCGGUGUAGCGGUGAAAUGCGUAGAUAUCGAGAGGAACACCUGCGGCGAAGGCGGGUUGCUGGGCUGACACUGACGCUGAUGUGCGAAAGCCAGGGGAGCGAACGGG
rnacentral:rRNA from 1 species